GAGUUUGAUCGUGGCUCAGAACGAACGCUGGCGGCAUGCCUAACACAUGCAAGUCGAACGAAGCCUUCGGGCUUAGUGGCGCACGGGUGCGUAACGCGUGGGAAUCUGCCCUUGGGUUCGGAAUAACAGUUAGAAAUGACUGCUAAUACCGGAUGAUGACUUCGGUCCAAAGAUUUAUCGCCCAAGGAUGAGCCCGCGUAGGAUUAGCUAGUUGGUGGGGUAAUGGCCCACCAAGGCGACGAUCCUUAGCUGGUCUGAGAGGAUGAUCAGCCACACUGGGACUGAGACACGGCCCAGACUCCUACGGGAGGCAGCAGUGGGGAAUAUUGGACAAUGGGCGAAAGCCUGAUCCAGCAAUGCCGCGUGAGUGAUGAAGGCCUUAGGGUUGUAAAGCUCUUUUACCAGGGAUGAUAAUGACAGUACCUGGAGAUAAGCUCCGGCUAACUCCGUGCCAGCCGCCGCCGUAA
rnacentral:rRNA from 1 species